rnacentral:rRNA from 1 species
CUGGCUCAGGACGAACGCUGGCGGCGUGCCUAAUACAUGCAAGUCGAGCGGAGUUAUUCCUUCGGGGAUAGCUUAGCGGCGGACGGGUGAGUAACACGUAGGCAACCUGCCUGCAAGACCGGGAUAACAUUCGGAAACGAAUGCUAAUACCGGAUACG